GACGAACGCUGGCGGCGCGCCUAACACAUGCAAGUCGAACGGAGUUAUUCCGAAUGAAGUUUUCGGAUGGAUUUUGGAAUAACUUAGUGGCGAACGGGUGAGUAACGCGUGAGUAACCUGCCCUGGAGUGGGGGACAACAGUUGGAAACGACUGCUAAUACCGCAUAAGCCCACGGCCCGGCAUCGGGCUGAGGGAAAAGGAUUUAUUCGCUUCAGGAUGGACUCGCGUCCAAUUAGCUAGUUGGUGAGGUAACGGCCCACCAAGGCGACGAUUGGUAGCCGGACUGAGAGGUUGAACGGCCACAUUGGGACUGAGACACGGCCCAGACUCCUACGGGAGGCAGCAGUGGGGGAUAUUGCACAAUGGGGGAAACCCUGAUGCAGCGACGCCGCGUGGAGGAAGAAGGUUUUCGGAUUGUAAACUCCUGUCGUURGGGACGAAUAAUGACGGUACCYAACAAGAAAGCACCGGCUAACUACGUGCCAGCAGCCGCGGUAAAACGUAGGGUGCAAGCGUUGUCCGGAAUUACUGGGUGUAAAGGGAGCGCAGGCGGACCGGCAAGUUGGAAGUGAAAUCUAUGGGCUCAACCCAUAAAUUGCUUUCAAAACUGCUGGCCUUGAGUAGUGCAGAGGUAGGUGGAAUUCCCGGUGUAGCGGUGGAAUGCGUAGAUAUCGGGAGGAACACCAGUGGCGAAGGCGACCUACUGGGCACCAACUGACGCUGAGGCUCGAAAGCAUGGGUAGCAAACAGGAUUAGAUACCCUGGUAGUCC
rnacentral:rRNA from 1 species